GUCAGUGGGAGGAUGGUUAUCCGACAAAAUUGUAAAAUGUUUUGCAAUAUAUGCUGAGACUUGCUUUGCGAGUUUUGGGGACCGAGUAAAACAUUGGAUCACAUUAAACGAACCUCUUCAAACUUCGGUAAAUGGACAUGAUAUCGGGAUAUUUGCUCCUGGAAGAAGUGAAAAUUCUUCUACUGAACCAUAUCUGACUGCACAUUAUCAACUUCUGGCUCAUGCAGCACCUGUUUCCAUAUACAAGAAAAAGUUUCAGGCUCAGCAGGGUGGUGAAAUAGGAAU